GGAUGCGAUCAUACCAGCACUAAAGCACCGGAUCCCAUCAGAACUCCAAAGUUAAGUGUGCUUGGGCGAGAGUAGUACUAGGAUGCGUGACCUCCUGGGAAGUCCUCGUGUUGCAUUCC
rnacentral:rRNA from 1 species